CCCUUAGAUGUUCUGGGCCGCACGCACGCUACACUGAUGCAUUCAACGAGCCUAUCCUUGACCGACAGGUCCGGGUAAUCUUUGAAUCUGCAUCGUGACGGGGAUAGAUUAUUGCAAUUAUUAAUCUUCAACGAGGAAUGCCUAGUAGGCGCAAGUCAUCAGCUUGCGUCGAUUACGUCCCUGCCCUUUGUACACACCGCCCGUCGCUCCUACCGAUUGGGUGUGCUGGUGAAAUGUUCGGAUCGGCCGUUUGUCGCGGUUUCCGCGUCAUGUGGCUGAGAAGUUCAUUAAACCCUCCCACCUAGAGGAAGGAGAAGUCGUAACA
rnacentral:rRNA from 1 species